UACAAAAGUAUAAGGGUUGAAGGUGAUGAAUCAGUGGAUCCACAAUGAUAAAUCAGCAGAAGUAGAAAAGAGAGCCAUGCUUAGGUAAAAGCCUAUUUCUUAGGACACCCAUCAAUGGUGUCGGCGAAUCCCCUUAUUGCCCCUGACACAUGGUUCUUGGGAGGGUUUAGAGAAAACCCAGUUGGUUUGUUCUUAUUCCUUUGGUUCUUCUGAACGAUGUCUGGAGUCUGGCCAUAUUAGGCUAA
rnacentral:lncRNA from 1 species